rnacentral:rRNA from 1 species
GAUGAACGCUAGCGACAGGCCUAACACAUGGCAAGUCGAGGGGCGAUCGGGGCGUAGCAAUACGCUGCCGGCGACCGGCGGAUGGGUGAGUAACGCGUAUGCAACCUGCCUUCAGCAGGGGGAUAGCCCGUUGAAAGACGGAUUAAUACCCCGUAACACAGGGGGCUCCGCAUGGAGAUUAGUUGUUAAAAGGGAUACUUCCUUCGGGGGGUAUUCCGGCUGAAGAUGGGCAUGCGUUCCAUUAGGUAGUUGGUUGAGGUAACGGCUCACCAAGCCUACGAUGGAUAGGGGAACUGAGAGGUUGGUCCCCCACACUGGAACUGAGAGACGGUCCAGACUCCUACGGGAGGCAGCAGUAGGGAAUAUUGGGCAAUGGGCGAAAGCCUGACCCAGCCAUGCCGCGUGAAGGAAGACGGCCUUAUGGGUUGUAAACUUCUUUACUACGCGAAUAGAGGUUAGUACGAGAUACUAAUAGGAAGGUAGUGUAGUAAAAAGCACCGGCUAACUCCGUG